rnacentral:lncRNA from 1 species
CCCCCGGACUCCCCAGAAUAAGAGGGGAGAGGCCCGGAGCGGAGGGUGAAGGUGUUUCUGAGGGUGAGGAGUGGGUGGGCCGGAGACGAGUUUGGCUUCGAGGCUGGGAUUGUACGCUUCAACCACUGGCUACCUGCACCUGGGCCGAACCCUGCCAACUCCUCGCACUCUGGGGACGCGUGGAAAAGAACUGGCGAAGACUCAAGCCGUUUGGUGGGAGGAGGUCACAUAUCCAUUUUGAUCAUAUCUCAGUGAAUGGUGUAAGAUAUUGGUCUAUACCUAGUUUCUGCCAAACUACUUUCCAAUUGUCCCAGUAAUUUUUCUUCCCAAAACCUGGAUCCAUACUUUUGUCAAAUAUAAGGUGAUUAUAAUCUUUUGCUACUGUUUGUUGUAUGUCUGCUCUGUUCCACUGAUCUGCCUUUCUAUUUCUCAGCCUACUAGUACCAAAUAGUUUUGAUAAUUACUGCUUUAUAAUAUAGUUUAAAAUCUGGCACUGCUAGACUUGCUUCUUUUACAUUUUUUUCAUUAAUUCAUUUUAUAUUCUUUUGUCCUUCCAAAAUAUUAUUUUUCCUAGCUUAAUGAAGUAUUUUUGGUAUUAUCAUUAAUAUAUUAAUAUUAUUUCCCACAGAGAGAAUUUGUGGAGCCUGGAUUGUUACAAAGACAGUUCUCAGCCACUGGUCUACCUAUAGUAAUGAGGCAGAGGAUGAGAAACAAAGGAGAAAUGAUUUGAGAAAGCUAACACUAAGCUGAUCUACUUCAGAGGCAGAACUUGGAUGAGGGGGUGAUGGAAGUCACAUAGAAGCAAACUGAAACUUGAUGCCAGGAGGUUUAUUAACUAUUUAAGCUGUUCCCAAAGCGGAAUGAAUCCCCAGGAGGUAAUGAUUUCCCUGACACUGAAUAUUUUUGAGUACAGGAGAUAGAGAAAUCCCAUUUAAAUUAAUUGUAGACAAUAUAAAAUACCUGGGAAUCUACCUGCCAAGACACACCAAGGAACUGCAUGAACACAAACACAGAACACUUUUCACACAGAUAAAGUCAGAUCUAAACAAUUGGGAAAACAGUUGCACAUGGCUAGGCCAAACCAAUAUAAUGAAAAUGACAGUUCUGCCAAAAUUAAUUUACCCAUUCAGCGCCAUACUAAUCAAAC